rnacentral:rRNA from 1 species
ACUCAAAUGAAUUGACGGGGACCCGCACAACCUGUGGAGCGUGUGGUUCAAUUUGAGACGAAGCAAAAAACCUUACCAGGGCUUGACAUGUAACCGUUUUAUACUUUUUGAAAGAUUAGUAGAUCCGCAAGGAUGGUUAUGCAGGUGCUGCAUGGCUGUCGUCAGCUCGUGCCGUGAGGUGUUCCCUUAAGUGGGGAAACGAGCGCAACCCCUGUGCAAUGUUAAAUAUUCAUUGUGGACAGCCUCAGUUUUACUGAGGAGGAAGGAGGGGAAGACGUCAAGUCAGCACGGCCCUUAUGCCCUGGGAUACACACACCCUACAAUGGCGAACAACAACGUGUUGCAAGCGUGCAAACGCAAGCUAAUCACUAAAAUUUCGCCUCAGUUCAGAUUGGGGUCUGCAACCCGACCCCAUGAAGUCGGAAUAGGUAGUAAUCGCGGAUCAGCAGGCCGCGGUGAAUACGUUCUCGGGUCUUGUACACACCGCCCGU